rnacentral:rRNA from 1 species
UACGUAGGGUGCGAGCGUUAAUCGGAAUUACUGGGCGUAAAGCGUGCGCAGGCGGUUUUGUAAGCCAGAUGUGAAAUCCCCGGGCUUAACCUGGGAAUGGCAUUUGGGACUGCAAGGCUGGAGUGCGGCAGAGGAGACUGGAAUUCCUGGUGUAGCAGUGAAAUGCGUAGAUAUCAGGAGGAAUACCGAUGGCGAAGGCAGGUCUCUGGGCUGACACUGACGCUCAUGCACGAAAGCGUGGGGAGCGAACAGG